rnacentral:rRNA from 1 species
AUCGGGGUUGCGGACAGUGUCUGGUGGGUAGUUUGACUGGGGCGGUCUCCUCCCAAAGCGUAACGGAGGAGCACGAAGGUUAGCUAAUCCUGGUCGGACAUCAGGAGGUUAGUGCAAUGGCAUAAGCUAGCUUGACUGCGAGCGUGACGGCGCGAGCAGGUGCGAAAGCAGGUCAUAGUGAUCCGGUGGUUCUGAAUGGAAGGGCCAUCGCUCAACGGAUAAAAGGUACUCCGGGGAUAACAGGCUGAUACCGCCCAAGAGUUCAUAUCGACGGCGGUGUUUGGCACCUCGAUGUCGGCUCAUCACAUCCUGGGGCUGAAGUAGGUCCCAAGGGUAUGGCUGUUCGCCAUUUAAAGUGGUACGCGAGCUGGGUUUAGAACGUCGUGAGACAGUUCGGUCCCUAUCUGCCGUGGGCGCUGGAGAAUUGAGGGGGGCUGCUCCUAGUACGAGAGGACCGGAGUGGACGCAUCACUGGUGUUCGGGUUGUCAUGCCAAUGGCACUGCCCGGUAGCUAAAUGCGGAAGAGAUAAGUGCUGAAAGCAUCUAAGCACGAAACUUGCCCCGAGAUGAGUUCUCCCUGAGACU